rnacentral:rRNA from 1 species
UAAGUGAAGAGUUUGAUCCUGGCUCAGAGUGAACGCUGGCGGUAGGCCUAACACAUGCAAGUCGAACGGCAGCACAGGAGAGCUUGCUCUCUGGGUGGCGAGUGGCGGACGGGUGAGGAAUACAUCGGAAUCUACUUUUUCGUGGGGGAUAACGUAGGGAAACUUACGCUAAUACCGCAUACGACCUACGGGUGAAAGCAGGGGAUCUUCGGACCUUGCGCGAUUGAAUGAGCCGAUGUCGGAUUAGCUAGUUGGCGGGGUAAAGGCCCACCAAGGCGACGAUCCGUAGCUGGUCUGAGAGGAUGAUCAGCCACACUGGAACUGAGACACGGUCCAGACUCCUACGGGAGGCAGCAGUGGGGAAUAUUGGACAAUGGGCGCAAGCCUGAUCCAGCCAUACCGCGUGGGUGAAGAAGGCCUUCGGGUUGUAAAGCCCUUUUGUUGGGAAAGAAAUCCAGCUGGUUAAUACCCGGUUGGGAUGACGGUACCCAAAGAAUAAGCACCGGCUAACUUCGUGCCAGCAGCCGCGGUAAUACGAAGGGUGCAAGCGUUACUCGGAAUUACUGGGCGUAAAGCGUGCGUAGGUGGUCGUUUAAGUCCGUUGUGAAAGCCCUGGGCUCAACCUGGGAACUGCAGUGGAUACUGG